rnacentral:rRNA from 1 species
UACGGGAGGCAGCAGUGGGGAAUAUUGCACAAUGGGCGCAAGCCUGAUGCAGCCAUGCCGCGUGUAUGAAGAAGGCCUUCGGGUUGUAAAGUACUUUCAGCAGUGAGGAAGGUGGGUAUGUUAAUAGCAUACUCAUUUGACGUUAGCUGCAGAAGAAGCACCGGCUAACUCCGUGCCAGCAGCCGCGGUAAUACGGAGGGUGCGAGCGUUAAUCGGAAUUACUGGGCGUAAAGCGCAUGCAGGUGGUUUGUUAAGUCAGAUGUGAAAGCCCGGGGCUCAACCUCGGAAUUGCAUUUGAAACUGGCAAACUAGAGUACUGUAGAGGGGGUAGAAUUUCAGGUGUAGCGGUGAAAUGCGUAGAGAUCUGAAGGAAUACCGGUGGCGAAGGCGGCCCCCUGGACAGAUACUGACACUCAGAUGCGAAAGCGUGGGGAGCAAACAGGAUUAGAUACCCCUGAUAG